GCAAGUCGAACGGAGUACCCCUGAAGGAGUUUUCGGACAACUGAUGGGACUACUUAGUGGCGGACGGGUGAGUAACGCGUGAGUAACCUGCCUUGGAGUGGGGAAUAACAGCUGGAAACAGCUGCUAAUACCGCAUAAUAUGUCUGUGUCGCAUGGCACUGGACAUCAAAGAUUUAUCGCUCUGAGAUGGACUCGCGUCUGAUUAGCUAGUUGGCGGGGUAACGGCCCACCAAGGCGACGAUCAGUAGCCGGACUGAGAGGUUGGCCGGCCACAUUGGGACUGAGACACGGCCCAGACUCCUACGGGAGGCAGCAGUGGGGAAUAUUGGUCAAUGGGCGGGAGCCUGAACCAGCCAUGCCGCGUGAAGGCGAGUGCCCUACGGGCGUUAAACUUCUUUUGUGCGGGAGCAAUAAGGGCCACGCGUGGCCCGAUGAGAGUACCGCACGAAUAAGCAUCGGCUAACUCCGUGCCAGCAGCCGCGGUAAUACGGGGGAUGCGAGCGUUAUCCGGAUUUAUUGGGUUUAAAGGGUGCGUAGGCGGCGCUUCAGGUCAGCGGUGAAAUACCGGGGCUCAACCCCGGGGCUGCCGUUGAAACCGGAGCGCUAGAAUUCCGAUGCCGUCGGAGGAAUGUGUGGUGUAGCGGUGAAAUGCA
rnacentral:rRNA from 1 species